GGAGAGAUAGCUCAGUGGUUAAGAGCAUUGUUAAAGAUCUGGGUUCGAUUCCCAGCACCC
rnacentral:tRNA from 1 species